rnacentral:rRNA from 1 species
UACGUAGGGUGCAAGCGUUGUCCGGAAUUACUGGGCGUAAAGAGCUCGUAGGUGGUUUGUCGCGUUGUUCGUGAAAACUCACAGCUCAACUGUGGGCGUGCGGGCGAUACGGGCAGACUUGAGUACUGCAGGGGGAGACUGGAAUUCCUGGUGUAGCGGGUGGAAAUGCGCCAGAUAGUCAGGAGGAACACCGGUGGCGAAGGCGGGUCUCUGGGCAGAUACUGACGCUGGAGGUGACGAAAGCGUGGGGAGCAAACAGG